ensembl:lncRNA RPL23AP7 ribosomal protein L23a pseudogene 7
GCAUGCGGCCGAGUGCGGGACUGGGGCUCCUGGCUGUGGGUGUGGUACCGAGGCUUCAGCGGGUGCCGCCCGCCUAGAGGGAGUGGAGCGGUGAGCACGUCAGGGGUGGGGGGCGCAGGUCAAGCUUUCACCAGUUUUUAAUUCUUUGAUGGGGUAAAUUUGAGCAAUUUUCUCGACUUGUCGACAUUCGUUAUUAACUGAGCAGGAAUCAGGAGAGGAACCCGGUCCUCUCCACACAGCCCAGCAGGUACGCCGCCCAUGUGCCUGUGGAGAAGAGAGGUUCCUGUGGGGCAGACAGAGAGCCUACGACUAGAUUUGCAUCUUUACGUCCUGCGCGGAGGCUGCUACACACAUGCAGAAGUCAUGCUGGUGGCCUGGACAGUGAAGGGAGAGAAGUGGAUUUGGGAGACAUUUAGGAGGAACAGUAAGAGGACCUUGUGCAUGAAUAAUUUGUUUCCACACUACAGAAAGAAUCCCAGACUUCUUAGAGAACCCAGUGACUUUUUGCACCUUAAAUCUGUGAAAUCCUCAUGUUUUCUUCUGCCGUAUCCAUAGUUCAAACAAAGAUGAGGCAAAGCUAGAUGCAUUCCUGAAGGAACCCAAGAAAUUCCUCUCUUUAUUUCUCUGGAAUGAAAUGAAUUCUCUAGACCACCAGUUCUAACCUUCAAAAACCAAACCUGUUUGUGAGAUCUCCUUCAAAUACUACUGUAGACCCCAGUGUUUAUUCAUUAAAUUUUUAAAAUAUUUGUUUUA